ACGGAGGGUGCAAGCGUUAAUCGGAAUCACUGGGCGUAAAGCGCGCGUAGGCGGUCAGAUCAGUCAGAUGUGAAAGCCCCGGGCUCAACCUGGGAACUGCAUUUGAUACUGUCUGGCUAGAGUUUGGUAGAGGGAGGUGGAAUUCCCGGUGUAGCGGUGAAAUGCAUAGAUAUCGGGAGGAACACCAGUGGCGAAGGCGACCUCCUGGGCCAAUACUGACGCUGAGGUGCGAAAGCGUGGGGAGCAAACAGG
rnacentral:rRNA from 1 species